UACGCCCAUAUUGCGUUCAAUCACCGGUUCUCAUACGAUCACGGAAAGUUAAGUAACGUCGAACUUAGUCAGUACCUAGAUGGGUGCCCGCUUGUGAAGACCGGGUGCUGUAU